AACGAACGCUGGCGGCAGGCCUAACACAUGCAAGUCGAGCGCCCCGCAAGGGGAGCGGCGGACGGGUGCGUAACGCGUGGGAAUAUGCCCUUUGCUACGGAAUAGUCUCGGGAAACUGGGGGUAAUACCGUAUACGCCCUUUGGGGGAAAGAUUUAUCGGCGAAGGAUUAGCCCGCGUUGGAUUAGGUAGUUGGUGGGGUAAUGGCCUACCAAGCCGACGAUCCAUAGCUGGUUUGAGAGGAUGAUCAGCCACACUGGGACUGAGACACGGCCCAGACUCCUACGGGAGGCAGCAGUGGGGAAUCUUAGACAAUGGGGGCAACCCUGAUCUAGCCAUGCCGCGUGAGUGAUGAAGGCCUUAGGGUUGUAAAGCUCUUUCAGCUGGGAAGAUAAUGACGGUACCAGCAGAAGAAGCCCCGGCUAACUCCGUG
rnacentral:rRNA from 1 species